GCACUCGCUUCGGCAGCACAUACACUAAAAUUGGAACAACAGAGAGAAGAUUAGCAUGGCCCCUGCACAAGGAUGACACACAAAUUCGUGAAGCAUUCCAUAUUUUU
ensembl:snRNA U6 U6 spliceosomal RNA